rnacentral:lncRNA from 1 species
AUGGUCAACCCCACCGUGUUCUUCGACAUCACAGCCGAUGACGAGCCCUUGGGCCGAGUCUCCUUCGAGCUGUUUGCAGACAAAGUUCCAAAGACAGCAGAAAACUUUCGAGCUCUGAGCACUGGAGAGAAAGGAUUUGGCUAUAAGGGUUCCUCCUUUCACAGAAUUAUUCCAGGAUUCACGUGCCAGGGUGGUGACGUCACACACCACAUGGCACUGGCGGCAGGUCCAUCUACGGGGAGGAAUUUGAGGAUGAGAACUUCAUCCUGAAGCAUACAGGUCCUGGCAUCUUGUCCGUGGCAAAUGCUGGACCAAACACAAACGGUUCCCAGUUUUUUAUCUGCACUGCCAAGACUGAAUGGCUGGAUGGCAAGCAUGUGGUCUUUGGGAAGGUGAAAGAAGGCAUGAACAUUGUGGAAGUCAUGGAGCGUUUUGGAUCCAGGAACAGCAAGACCAGCAAGAAGAUCACCAUUUCCGACUGUGGACAACUCUAA